rnacentral:rRNA from 1 species
AGCGAACGCUGGCGGCAGGCCUAACACAUGCAAGUCGAACGGAUCCUUCGGGAUUAGUGGCGGACGGGUGCGUAACACGUGGGAACGUGCCCUUUGGUUCGGAACAACUCAGGGAAACUUGAGCUAAUACCGGAUGUGCCCUUCGGGGGAAAGAUUUAUCGCCAUUGGAGCGGCCCGCGUCUGAUUAGCUAGUUGGUGAGGUAACGGCCCACCAAGGCGACGAUCAGUAGCUGGUCUGAGAGGAUGAUCAGCCACACUGGGACUGAGACACGGCCCAGACUCCUACGGGAGGCAGCAGUGGGGAAUCUUGCGCAAUGGGCGAAAGCCUGACGCAGCCAUGCCGCGUGAAUGAUGAAGGUCUUAGGAUUGUAAAAUUCUUUCAGCGGGGACGAUAAUGACGGUACCCGCAGAAGAAGCUCCGGCUAACUUCGUG